UACGAAGGUGGCAAGCGUUGUUCGGAUUUACUGGGCGUACAGGGAGCGUAGGCGGUUGGAUAAGCCCUCCGUGAAAUCUCCAGGCUUAACCUGGAAAGUGCAGAGGGGACUGUUCAGCUAGAGGAUGGGAGAGGGAUGCGGAAUUCCAGGUGUAGCGGUGAAAUGCGUAGAUAUCUGGAGGAACACCGGUGGCGAAGGCGGCAUCCUGGACCGACACUGACGCUGAGGAGCGAAAGCCAGGGGAGCAAACGGG
rnacentral:rRNA from 1 species